CUUGGUAGGUUCUCAUUUCACACAAAGAUUGCUCAUGACCCAAGGGUGUGUCAUGACCUUGACCCAAGGUCAUUUGGGGAAGUUCAAGGUCACUGGAAGAAAAAUUUCAUAAUUCGUGUCCGGUCUAUAUCUUUCUUAUGGAUAAACUUGGUAGGUUUUCAUUUCAUAUAAAGAUUGCCCAUGACCCAAGGGUGUGUCAUGACCUUGACCCAAGGUCAUUUGGGGAAGUUCAAGGUCACUGGAAGAAAAAUUUUAUAAUUCGUGUUUGAUACAUAUCUUUAUUAUACAAAAACUUACUUCUGAAAAACCCAGCGGGGGGUAUUUUGUCCCGAUUGGACAGUUC